CUACUGCAUGCUCUCGAGAGCGGCGGACGGGUGAGUAAUGCCAUAGAGAAUCUGCCUGGUAGUGGGGGAUAACGUUCGGAAACGGACGCUAAUACCGCAUACCUCCUACGGGAGAAAGCAGGGGACCUUCGGGCCUUGCGCUAUCGGAUGAGCCUAGGUCGGAUUAGCUAGUUGGUGGGGUAAUGGCUCACCAAGGCGACGAUCCG
rnacentral:rRNA from 1 species